GACGAACGCUGGCGGUGUGCUUAACACAUGCAAGUCGAACGGUAAGGCCCUUUCGGGGGUACACGAGUGGCGAACGGGUGAGUAACACGUGAGUAACCUGCCCUCAUCUCUGGGAUAACAGUCGAAAACGGUUGCUAAUACUGGAUAUGAGCUUGCAAGGCAUCUUGUGGGUUGGAAAGAUUUUUUUGGUUGGGGAUGGACUCGCGGCCUAUCAGCUUGUUGGUGAGGUAGUGGCUCACCAAGGCUUCGACGGGUAGCCGGCCUGAGAGGGCGACCGGCCACAUUGGGACUGAGAUACGGCCCAAACUCCUACGGGAGGCAGCAGUGGGGAAUAUUGCACAAUGGACGGAAGUCUGAUGCAGCAACGCCGCGUGCGGGAUGACGGCCUUCGGGUUGUAAACCGCUUUCAAUUGUGACGAAGCUUUUUGUGACGGUAGCAGUAGAAGAAGCACCGGCUAACUACGUG
rnacentral:rRNA from 1 species